UACAGAGGGUGCAAGCGUUGUUCGGAAUUAUUGGGCGUAAAGCGCGUGUAGGCGGCUUUGCAAGUCGGGUGUGAAAGCCCUCAGCUUAACUGAGGAAGUGCGCCCGAAACUGCUUAGCUUGAGUGUCGGAGAGGAUGGCGGAAUUCCCCAAGUAGAGGUGAAAUUCGUAGAUAUGGGGAGGAACACCGGUGGCGAAGGCGGCCAUCUGGACGAUAACUGACGCUGAGGAGCGAAAGCAUGGGGAGCGAACAGG
rnacentral:rRNA from 1 species